AUGUCACGCGGACAAGAGGUGCUCAAGGCCAACCCAGCACACCGCCGGCCACGCCGCUAUAUAAGCCCGUCCGGGAGUCACUUUGGCAUCAGACGUUGUCUUGCAUCUGACACACACACACACACCAACAUGAGGGUCCUGAGCGUCAUCCUGCUGGCCGUGGUGCUGUUCCUGGGUGUGGUCGCCGCCCGUCCCAAUGAGGUGCUGGACUUCGAAACUGACAACGUGAGCCACGAGCAGCACGGCGUGCCCGGCCAGGCCGUGUACGGCGAGUACGAGGCAAAGGACGCCCACGGCAACUGGUAUGAGGUGAAGUACGUCGCUGA